rnacentral:rRNA from 1 species
UUCACGGAGAGUUUGAUCCUGGCUCAGGACGAACGCUGGCGGCGCGCUUAAUACAUGCAAGUCGAGCGAGAACCAGAGCUUCGGCUCUGGGGACAGCGGCGAACGGGUGAGUAACACGUGAGUAAUCUGCCCUCGACACCGGGAUAGCCCGGGGAAACCCGGAUUAAUACCGGAUGGCCUCUCGAGC